GCCCAGCGUGGUGCAGUGGUUUGAGUGUUGGAUUACGACUCUGGAGACCAGGGUUUGAUUCCCAGCUUGGAUA